UUAAUUAUGCCCCUGCCGACUUUUACAGACCCCACAAACAAAACACUUAAGCGGUGCUUCACGAUAGAUUGGGUGCUACCCAAACAUUUGGUUUCUUAUUCCUAUUUAGCAUACCUUUGGCACCAAGCACUCUAUUAGCUCCCUUCCUUUUUCCUUUUUGUCAAUAAGUAGUUCCCUUCCAGUUCCACCCUGUUUGGUAGGAUGGAAAGAUAUCAAAUAGAUAAAAAUAAAAUUAACGAGUAAAAGUAAGUGAGACAUAAAAAAAAUUGAUUGAAAAAAAAAAUAGAUAAAAAAUGACUAAAAGUAAAUAAUAUAAGUGGUUCUCACCAUUUAAAAACAUUUUUACUCUCAAUAUCUCCUCUAGGAAACAUAUCCUUGGUUUCAUACACUGCAGAAAAGACUUUUUUCUUUCCACACUUUAGUUUUCUUAGUUGAAUAUUGAGUGUGGUCCUGUGGGCUAACACUAGGGCCUAGCCUAAUAAGUUGUUCAGAAUUCAGAUGUUGCAAUCACCGGCCAUCUUGUACAAUUUUUUAAUUAUAAAAUAAUGUAUUACAGCAUGACGUGUGCCGCGUAAUAUUUAGCCAAGUGAUGUUUUUAUAGCUAUUUUUUUUUGGCCUCUUGUGGUUAGGAUGCAAAAUUGGUUAGUUGAAGGAUUCCAAUAAUGUGAAUCAGGCAGGAAUUAAAACAAAUGAAAAUAAUAAUAGUUUACUUGAGUUGUUGGAUAGAGAAGAAAGAGAACCAGAAAUCAAAGCUAUCUAUGCAUUCACCUUUGGAAAGCAAAUUUAAAAUUUGUCACUGAUGCAUGGCAUGGGAUGGCAUAUGUAGCCUUUACCCAUCAAAGAAAAUAAAAUAAGAUUAUACAAGUAUGUCAUGGACUCUCAUGGCUAUGCACACUUUCUUUCCAUCCUAAUACGCUUUUUUCAUAAAAGGAAACACUAUUGAAAAAA
rnacentral:lncRNA from 1 species